rnacentral:rRNA from 1 species
AUUGAACACUGGCGGCAUGCCUUACACAUGCAAGUCGAACGGCAGCACGGGUGCUUGCACCUGGUGGCGAGUGGCGAACGGGUGAGUAAUACAUCGGAACGUACCUUAUCGUGGGGGAUAACGCAGCGAAAGCUGUGCUAAUACCGCAUACGCCCUGAGGGGGAAAGCGGGGGAUCGAAAGCCCUCGCGCGAUUAGAGCGGCCGAUGCCUGAUUAGCUUGUUGGUGGGGUAAAAGCCCACCAAGGCGACGAUCAGUAGCUGGUCUGAGAGGAAGAUCAGCCAAACUGGGACUGAGACACGGCCCAGACUCCUACGGGAGGCAGCAGUGGGGAAUUUUGGACAAUGGGGGCAACCCUGAUCCAGCAAUGCCGCGUGAGUGAAGAAGGCCUUCGGGUUGUAAAGCUCUUUUGUCAGGGAAGAAACACCGGCUCUAACACAGUCCGGGAAUGACGGUACCUGAAGAAUAAGCACCGGCUAACUACGUGCCAGCCGCCGCGGUAA